UACAACUCUGAGCGGUGGAUCACUUGGCCUGUGGACGCUAUGAAGACCAUAGCUAAAUGUGAGAACGGCAGCGAGUCGUUGCUAUAUGCGCUGUCUCCCUUCUCUCAUAUGUCGAAUGCACAUUGCGCCCCACCAGCGCGGGGUCGAUGAUGGGACGGAUGAAGUCUGUGAGAUCCGUACACAAACGCGAAGGUGUGGCCUCGGAGCAACGGCCGGGGAGCCAGGAGCACCCGAGUGUGCGUUGCGGAUCUGUGUCAUUGUAAUCCGUUCGACCCUGAAGGUGGGGCACUUCUAGUCGAGUGUGG
rnacentral:rRNA from 1 species